GAGACCAAGAAGAACACAGAGGAGGUAGGUACAUGAGUGACCGUAAGCAAAAUAUAAUUCCUCUUUUGUAGGACUUUUAAAAAGUUACAGUUAUGGGCUUUGGCUAUCAUACAAAUGCUCACAGUUAUUAUAAGUCAAUUUAAAAUAAGUUAUUUACUCCUUAUUUGUUAGAAAUAAAAGUAAUCAGAAAUGCUGGCACCAGAAAGAAGAAAAUCAGAAGAAAUAAACAGAAGCAUAUAUUUUAUCCUUAUUGCAAUGACAAGCGGAGGUCGUGUUAUGUUUGAAUGAGAUUUCCAUUCAUGUGCUUGUUUCAAUCUCUCACCUCUAGGAUGCAUGUAAAAACAUUCAAAAGAUAAGACUAAGCUGAGGAUAAAGUUGAUAGCAUCCAUUUUCUUAUAGGAAGAAAAAAGACUACAGCAAUUGUAGAUUCAUAUACAGUCAUGCGUCGCUUAACAACGGGCGCACGUUCUGAAAAAUGCAUCGUUUAGGCAACUUCGUCAUUGUGGGAACAUCAUAGUGUGUACUCACACAAACCUAGAUGGUAUAGCCUACUACACAGCUAGGCUAUAUGGUACUAACCUUAUGGGACCACCGUCACAUAGGCGGUCCAUCAUUGACCGAAAACCUUGUUAUGUGGCCCAUGACUCUACAUCUCCUUCCACUUUCUCAGCCUAAACACUGUGGCCUCACAUUUAGGAAUUUAUAAACAGACACGCUAGGCUUCAGAAUUCCUUUGGGUUUGUCUCCAGAGUGUUCAAAGAGGCUAUAGAGGAAGUAGGGGAAUAUUUGAUAUCUCCCUUGCUUCAAGGACUCAGAAAAUCCAUUUGAAUGGAAAAAAAGCUCCACUUUUGUUAGGGACAUAAUUAGUUCAGAGUGACCAGAACUCUCACACAAGGCGCCCAAAUUUAGAGAGCACUAGUCAAAGCCAAAGAAAAAAAAAAACCUGUUUAAGGCAGUGUAAAAUUUUAAGCUUCUCAACAAAUUUCCACACCAGCUCUCUAGUCACAAGGCACUGGUCCAACCCUAGAACCAGGCCAGCUUCCCUGGUAGGGGGCAGAGAUAGGUAGCGCUGGAAAGUCAAUGGCGAGGGCAGAGAAGUCUUUGACCAUUUGCAUACUGAGAGUUUGAGAGAAGGGUUAUCUCCUCUUUUCCACUUGCCUCAUCCUCUCCCUAGCACACAGUGGAUUGAAGUUGCCAAAAUUGCUAGUCAUAUUUAGUUACAGUUACUGUUGACUUUGUUACAGGCUUGACCUAAGUUGCUGGUGCCUCGGGGUUGUUUACCCAUCUUUGAGGUGUGCCCAUCAGAAGUCAUAUAACCUGAGAGGUGACCUCUACACUGGGACGAUGAGGAAAUACAAAGCACAGCACCGCUCUCAGUCCUUGUUCCUCCACGUACUUGUCCUCAAGCGCCCAGCAAAGUCCUUACAGCUUUGAUCUUUGGAAUGCCACAAACUCAGCAGAUAUUGCCUGAUUUCAGAAAGUUUUUAUACAACACAAUAAGAAUUUCCUAAAGUUUUCAGUGGACUAUGACUUUUUUUCUAAGUCCCUCCGAACUAGCAUUUGUCAGUUAAAAAUUUCACAAAGUCAGUAUUUUUAAACACAAAAAUUAAAACUAUAGAUGGCUGAUUUUCCCACCAAAGAAAUAAGAGGUUAUAUAUAAUAAAAUUAUGAAACUACCAUAGUUGCCAACAAGAAGAAAUAUUAUGGAUAUCCUUUCCAUUUGGAAUCAUCUAUAACCCUCCUGGAACGCUUUUGACUAAUUGAAGAAUAUUUUUGGUAAAUUUAGAAUCCUAGAAUUUCUUCAGUUAUUUUCCAUGUAGGUUUUUAAGCCAUGCUGUCCACCACUUCAGGUACAAUUUAUAUCUAACCUAAGCAAUGUUUUUAGCCAAGAGAAGGGUAUGAGACAUCACAAAGCCAAACACAGCGUACCGUCUGAACAUCUGUCAUUUUGGGUCAUUUACUUCCUACCUUUGUUAAAAUAGCUAAAAGGGAACUAAACAGAAAUAACAUCCAGACAGUGCUCUUUAACGUCUUGUGUUAACUGCAGUUUAGAUGCACAACGCUGUAUAAACUGUUGGUCAAAUGCUCUAUACAAAGCGUAUGGGUCUAGUGUUCUCUUCCAUAUAAAAAUCUUCCAUAUAAAAAAUUUCUUUUCUUUCUUAUAGAAUGACUUAAUCCUUCACCCAUCUUAAUUUUACUGAAGUGUAAUUAAAAUUAAACAGGCGCCAUCCUUAUUCAUGAUCUUUAGCAUCAAUGCAAUUCUCAAACUGGAGCCAAUAAAAAUAAAAAGUUGCAUCAGGUACUCAUUUUCAGUCUCUUCACCCCCUGUUUUGCCCCACGGAGCAAUCUAAUUUUUGUUACUAAAAAGCAAUUUAAAAAUUAAACCAGGGGCCAGCCCAGUGGUGUAGUUGUUAAAUUUGAAUUGGCAAAGAUGUUAGCUCAGCAACAAUCUUCCUCAAGCAAAAAGAGGAAGACUGGCAAUAGAUGUUAGCUCAGGGCCAAUCUGCUUCACCAAAAAAAAAAAAAAGAAAAAGAAAAAUUAGACUGAUGUUAGAGUGUGAUGCCCUCUCUUGGCAGAUGCAUUGAAAGUGAUGAAAUAUCUUCUUAUUCAAUGUGUCUACCACAACCUGAAUAUCAUCUGAGCUGAAUCUUAAGGGUCAGUAAUAUUAAAUUUGGCAAAGUAUGAGGCCCAAUUCUCAGGUCUUUUCAGAUAAAAUAAAAUGAUGGGAGUUUGGAAUUCAACUUCUUUAUAGUAACAGUGUAGUCCAGAGUACUCUGCAAGAUAAUUCUAGAGAGAUCCUAACUUAGGAACACAUAUAUUUCAAUAAGAAUAAAGAUGGCUAACUUCAUGCGACACACGUACACACACACCAUCUGUGUAACCACAGAAAAGGGAGUAUGUAUGGCACACCUGUGAGUUGUCACUACAAAAUAAUGUCAAACUAUAAUCUGCUCUAAGAAAACAUUCUCAUUAAAUUGUAGUCAUACUCAUAACGACGUGAGCAUGUAUGUGUAUCCUUAAAUGAAGACAACGGGGGAACAAUCAAAACUUCAUUUUGGUCUAGUCCAGGGUUUCUUAACCUUGGCACCACUGACAUUUUAGACUGGAUAAUUUUGUUGUGCAGGGGCUGACCCGUGCAUUGUGGGAUGUUCAGCAGGACCCCUGACCUCGACUCAGUAGAUGCCAAUAGCACCCUCCGAAUCGUGACAAUCAAAAGUGUCUCCAGACACUGCCAAAUGCCACCAGGAUCACCUCACUCGAGAAGCCCUGGUCAUAUGAAAUAUUAUUAGUUGGGGCCAUUUCUGUUCUGUCUUUCAGAAGCCACCAAUUUACAGACUAAACAUUGUAC
rnacentral:lncRNA from 1 species